GAGAGACUUAGAAUCCCCACAGAAUGUCGUGUUAAUAGCCAUAGUCUUUGGCCGGGCUUGGCGGUUAGUGAAUC
rnacentral:ncRNA from 1 species